AUUGAACGCUGGCGGCAUGCUUUACACAUGCAAGUCGAACGGGCUUGGGGGCUUGCUCCCAAGUUAGUGGCGAACGGGUGAGUAAUACAUCGGAACGUACCGUGUAGUGGGGGAUAACUUAGCGAAAGUUAGGCUAAUACCGCAUACGAUCUACGGAUGAAAGUGGGGGACCUUCGGGCCUCACGCUAUACGAGCGGCCGAUGUCUGAUUAGCUAGUUGGUGAGGUAAAGGCUCACCAAGGCGACGAUCAGUAGCGGGUCUGAGAGGAUGAUCCGCCACACUGGGACUGAGACACGGCCCAGACUCCUACGGGAGGCAGCAGUGGGGGAAUUUUGGGACAAUGGGCGAAAGCUUGAUCCAGCCAUGCCGCGUGUCUGAAGAAGGCCUUC
rnacentral:rRNA from 1 species